UAUACAACUCAAAAUCAAAGUAGAUUUAUAUUAAAGGGUUUUAUAAAGGAAACUAUGAAAACAUUAUAAAACUAAUCAUUUGAAAUGAUGAAUUUGCUCUUCAAAAAUAAAUUCUCCACUUCAGAUCGGGUUUGUACAAGAUUAUGUUAUUCCGAACAGAAAGGGAUAGAAAACUUCAUACACACUGUAUCGAUUUUUCAUUUCUCCAAUGGUGUGUAUCACCAUCGUUUUAUGAAUAUGACAAAGGGAUGAGUUUUAACCUUAGUCGAUCUAAGUACCUUUUUAGCAAUAGUGUCUACUUGUAUUUUUAUUUUAUUAUCGUAGUUUUAUGUACGUUUAAAUCGUAAUCCCUGAAAAAUAUAAAAUAGUUUAUAAUUGUACACCCCAA
rnacentral:lncRNA from 1 species